rnacentral:rRNA from 1 species
GACGAACGCUGGCGGCGUGCUUAACACAUGCAAGUCAGGGGGCGGGGUAACCCGUCACCGGCGAACGGAUUCAGAACACGUGAUCGACCUUCCCUGGUGUGGGGGCUAGCCGGCCCAACGGCCGGGUACUACCGCAUACGGCGCCCGCUUGGAUGCGGGAGGCGAAACUCGCCAGAGGCGCUUGGAGGGGCUCGCGGGCUAUUAGCGAGUGGGUGCGGUAACGGAGCACGAAGGCGAUGGCGGGUAGCUGGACUGUGAGGAUGGCUAGCCACAGUGGAACUGAGAGACGGCUGAGACUGCGACGGGAGGCAGCAGUGGGGAAGAGGGCGCAAUGGGGGAACGUAUGAAGCAGCGGCGCCGCGUGGAGGAUGAGGCCGUGCGAGGUGUAAACUCCUGUUGCCCGGGAAGAAUGCCCCGCAUGGGCGAGGUUGACGGUACCGGGUGAGGAAGCACCGGCUAACUCUGUG